rnacentral:rRNA from 1 species
CACGUAGGGCGCAAGCGUUGUCCGGAAUUAUUGGGCGUAAAGAGCUCGUAGGCGGUCUGUUGCGUCCGCUGUGAAAACUCGGGGCUUAACCCCGAGCCUGCAGUGGAUACGGGCAGACUAGAGGUAGGUAGGGGGAGAAUGGAAUUCCCGGUGUAGCGGUGAAAUGCGCAGAUAUCGGGAGGAACACCGGUGGCGAAGGCGGUUCUCUGGGCCGAUACUGACGCUGAGGAGCGAAAGCGUGGGGAGCGAACAGG